rnacentral:rRNA from 1 species
UACGUAGGGUGCAAGCGUUGUCCGGAAUUAUUGGGCGUAAAGGGCGCGUAGGCGGCCUGUUAAGUCGAACGUGAAAUCCCCGGGCUCAACCCGGGAACUGCGUCCGAUACUGGCAGGCUUGAAUCCGGGAGAGGGAUGCGGAAUUCCAGGUGUAGCGGUGAAAUGCGUAGAUAUCUGGAGGAACACCGGUGGCGAAGGCGGCAUCCUGGACCGGCAUUGACGCCUGAGGCGCGAAAGCCAGGGGGAGCAAAACGGGG